rnacentral:lncRNA from 1 species
AUAAAAUCUUGUGCAUAUGAAUUCAUAUUUUAGUUCAUACUCAAGCAUGGCUUUAAGACUUGUACGGAAUGUUCUGGAUAUGGUAGGAGUGUGUACGAAGGUUGUGAGUAGGUCAACAUGGAAUCAAUCACUCUUAGUAAGAGAAGAUCACAUCCUAUGUAUUCUCAUUCGUAGAUGACUCAAAAAAAAUUUUUUGACCAAAAGUAGGAAGAA